rnacentral:rRNA from 1 species
UACAGAGGGUGCAAGCGUUAAUCGGAAUUACUGGGCGUAAAGCGUGCGUAGACGGUUGCGUAAGUCAGAUGUGAAAGCCCCGGGCUCAACCUGGGAAUUGCAUUUGAGACUGCGUAGCUAGGGUGCGGAAGAGGGAAGCGGAAUUUCCGGUGUAGCGGUGAAAUGCGUAGAUAUCGGAAGGAAAACCAGUGGCGAAAGCGGCUUCCUGGUCCAGCACCGACGUUCAGGCACGAAAGCGUGGGGAGCAAACAGG